rnacentral:rRNA from 1 species
AUUUUUCAACAACGCAUUUGUUCUUUUGGGCAUGGAGGAAGAUCGGAAAGAACCCGAUAAGUUUCUGAAGUCAUAAAUGAUUGAAUUAAUGAAUCUUUGAACGCACAUCGCGCCCCGAGUAAUUCCAUGGGGCUUGCCUGUCCGAGCGUCAUUUCC